AAUGAACGUUGGCGGCGUGGAUUAGGCAUGCAAGUCGUACGGGCCAGCAAUGGUCAGUGGCGAAAGGGAGAGGAAUACGCAGGUAUCUACCUCCGGGUCGGGGAUAGCCACGGGAAACUGUGGGUAAUACCCGAUAACGUCUCCGGACCAAAGGUGUGAUUCCACCUGGAGAGGAGCCUGCGUCCUAUUAGCUUGUUGGCGGGGUAACGGCCCACCAAGGCUACGAUGGGUACGGGGUGUGAGAGCAUGCCCCCGCUCACUGGGACUGAGACACUGCCCAGACACCUACGGGUGGCUGCAGUCGGGAAUCUUCCGCAAUGGGCGCAAGCCUGACGGAGCGACGCCGCGUGUGGGAUGAAGGCCUUCGGGUUGUAAACCACUGUCGUAGGGGAGGAAGGACCGGUGCAGAGCCGGUUUUGACCUAUCCUAGGAGGAAGGGUGGGCUAAGUUCGUGCCAGCCGCCGCCGUAACAC
rnacentral:rRNA from 1 species